AGUGGGAUAGCCGGGUCAAUUGUUCCAUUCCCAGUUUUCUAAGGAUUCUCCAUACUGCUUUUCAUAUUGGCUGCACCAAUUUGUAGUCCCACCAGCAAU
rnacentral:pre_miRNA from 1 species